GGGAUUGUGGCUCAGUGGUAGAGUGCUCACCUCGCAUGUGCGAGACCCUGGGUUCCAUCCUCAGCACCA
rnacentral:tRNA from 1 species